GUAUUAGCAUUUUUAUGUGAUUUUUUCUGUACUUCUUGGUGCAGAACAUGUAUAUGAAACAAGGUAAAAAAUACAUGUAUUCUAUGUAGAAAGUAGAGAUGCAACUUAGGCUAGGUUAAUGUGAAUAUAACCCGAUCCAACCUAUAAAUUAGGUCUUUUAGUUUUUUGUGAAGUGAGGGUUGACGUUUUUAGAAUUCCAACCUUGCCUCUUGUGAUAAAGGAUACAUUCCUGCCAUCCGAACCAAGGGUUGGUGGUUGGAUCAACAAAUAUGAAAUUUCAAUUGAGUUUGGAUUGAAAAAUGUGAACCUAAACUUAAGAUUUGAAAGUGGAUAUUAUGUUGUAUCUCAAAUACUCAAAUUCAGAUGAAUUCCAAAACUAGGGUUUUCUUUGUGUCAUACUCCAGUAGUACGUACUAGCCGAUGAUAUUUAGGUAUAGAAUUCUUUGAUUCAUGCGUUGCGAUAAGUACUUGAUGCAUGUAGAUUGUUUGAUGAAAUCCCUUAAUGAUUCAUAAUUUCACCCUCUAAGUUUCCAU
rnacentral:lncRNA from 1 species